UGGAGAAUAUUGCACAAUGGGCGCAAGCCUGAUGCAGCCAUGCCGCGUGUAUGAAGAAGGCCUUCGGGUUGUAAAGUACUUUCAGCGGGGAGGAAGGCGAUAAGGUUAAUAACCUUGUCGAUUGACGUUACCCGCAGAAGAAGCACCGGCUAACUCCGUGCCAGCAGCCGCGGUAAUACGGAGGGUGCAAGCGUUAAUCGGAAUUACUGGGCGUAAAGCGCACGCAGGCGGUCUGUCAAGUCGGAUGUGAAAUCCCCGGGCUCAACCUGGGAACUGCAUUCGAAACUGGCAGGCUAGAGUCUUGUAGAGGGGGGUAGAAUUCCAGGUGUAGCGGUGAAAUGCGUAGAGAUCUGGAGGAAUACCGGUGGCGAAGGCGGCCCCCUGGACAAAGACUGACGCUCAGGUGCGAAAGCGUGGGGAGCAAACA
rnacentral:rRNA from 1 species